rnacentral:rRNA from 1 species
AGAGUUUGAUCAUGGCUCAGAGCGAACGCUGGCGGCAGGCCUAAUACAUGCAAGUCGAGCGGGUGUAGCAAUACACCAGCGGCAGACGGGAGAGUAACACGUGGGAACGUGCCCUUCAGUUCGGAACAACCCAGGGAAACUUGGGCUAAUACCGGAUACGUCCGUAAGGAGAAAGAUUUAUCGCUGAAGGAUCGGCCCGCGUCUGAUUAGCUUGUUGGUGAGGUAAUGGCUCACCAAGGCGACGAUCAGUAGCUGGUCUGAGAGGAUGAUCAGCCUCACUGGGACUGAGACACGGCCCAGACUCCUACGGGAGGCAGCAGUAGGGAAUAUUGGACAAUGGGCGCAAGCCUGAUCCAGCCAUGCCGCGUGGGUGAUGAAGGCCCUAGGGUUGUAAAGCCCUUUCGGCGGGGAAGAUAAUGACGGUACCCGCAGAAGAAGCCCCGGCUAACUUCGUGCCAGCAGCCGCGGUAAUACGAAGGGGGCUAGCGUUGCUCGGAAUCACUGGGCGUAAAGCGCACGUAGGCGGCUUUUUAAGUCAGGGGUGAAAUCCUGGAGCUCAACUCCAGAACUGCCUUUGAUACUGAGAAGCUUGAGUCCGGGAGAGGUGAGUGGAACUGCGAGUGUAGAGGUGAAAUUCGUAGAUAUUCGCAAGAACACCAGUGGCGAAGGCGGCUCACUGGCCCGGUACUGACGCUGAGGUGCGAAAGCGUGGGGAGCAAACAGGAUUAGAUACCCUAGUAGUCC